UACGGUCACAUUACAUUGAAACACCGGUUCCCGUACAAUCAGUGAAGUUAAGCAACGUCGAGCCUUGGCUGUACCUAGAUGGGUGACGACCGCUUGGGAAUACUAAUUACU
rnacentral:rRNA from 1 species